GAUCGUGGCCGACACACCAGUCAUCCCCGAUCUCCCGUCGGUCGAGGAGAUCGACUCAGAAGGGUGAUCGGGCCUUACCGACUUUCUUUUGCUUUUUCUGUUUUUUGAAAUACUUGUAAUCGGGCCUCGACCCAACUUUGUAAACCUUCUUUGAAUGAAAACUUUGAAUGAAAACUUCUUCCGCUUUCCCUUUGUCUACUUCUUUCAAAUGUAUGGCUGAAUGCCUUAGUGAGUCACUAACUUAUGUAAGUCGCUAACUCACAUAAGUCGGUAGGACGUUCGGCAACUCGUGCCGCUACGAAGGUGGGGUAAGUCCCGACUUUGGAUCGGCUUCUGAUAGUCGAGGUCGUCAGUCGGGCGCGUCUGUUGAGUCGGGAGCCGAUCGAACGUGGCAAAGGUUCGGUAGUCGGGUCUCCCCUGACGCGUUCAGUCGAAUGUCGUCCGGCGCAUUGUCGGGUGAACGACAACAAGUCGGAUCCCGAUGCUCUUGCGUCGGGUAUUCAUGAUGUGUCUUUUGAUAUACGGUGGUAAGCCGAAUAUCGUCCGGUCGUGGCUCGGUCGGCAAGUCGUAGAUGCGACUAAGGUCGCGUUGUGCGAUAGACGGUGUUAAGCCGAAUAUCCUUCGACCGGCCGUAGCUCGGUCGGGAGUCGCGACGUCAGUCGCGUAGGCUUUUCGCCUCUCUUUGGUCGGGGCUCGAUCAGCUUGUUAGCCGAUGGUUUGGCCCGAAAGUCCGACCGUAGGAGUGUCAACUCCUGUCAAUGCAGAUGCAUCGGUCCUCGCAAGAGUCCGAUGUGUCGUCGAAGGUCGAAGGAGUGUAACUCCCGUUCAUAUGAGCGCAUCGGUCCUUGUAAGGGUCCGAUGUAUCGUCGACCGUCGAAGGAGUGUCAACUCCCGUCCGUGUAGAUAAGUCGGUCCUCGCAAGAGUCCGAUGUAUCGUCGACCGUCGAAGGAGUGUCAACUCCCGUCCGUGUAGAUAAGUCGGUCCUCGCAAGAGUCCGAUGGGUCACCGGCGGUAAAGUCGUCGGCUUGAGGCGGAUACCGAGUCCAAGUCGGUAUGUCGGGGCUUGGCCUUGAUAAGCGCCGAUCAUUAGUCGAAGAGUUAAAACUCCGAGAUUUCAAACCGAAUUCGUAUUCCGACUGAACAAUUACAAAGUUCACGGGUAAUACAACUUCAAGUUGUCGGCGUUCC
rnacentral:lncRNA from 1 species